ACGAGUGGGGCGUCUGUGGGGGCUACAGUGGGCUCUCAAUGAUCACCUGUAGUGGCAGCGAAAGAGUUUGAGCCCCACUUCAAACAACUUCAUAAUAAGAGGCCAGACAAAAGAGCUGUCAGUCAGUUACUACAGACGCUCAACUCAGACACCUUCAGAGCACUGGGAAAAGACUUGUCUUCUGCCAGAACGUAACCCAAACACACACAGAGACCACCAUGAAGCCCUGGAUUCUUCCACUCAUCAUGUUCAUCUCUGGAGUUGUGAUGCUUCUGCCUGUGUUGGGAAGCCUCUGGACCAGAGAUCCCCUUCUAGACCUGAUACAACAAACUGAGCAGUGCUGGGUACAGCCUCCAUAUAAGUACUGUGAGAAAAGGUGUACUAAAAUAAGGACCUGUAUACGUCCAAAUCAUACAUGCUGCUGGACCUACUGUGGAAACAUCUGCUUAGAUAAUGAAGAGCCCCUUAAAUCAAUGCUAGACCCCCUAGAUUCUAUUGGUUGAUCACUACUGUGGGCUGAAGGAUGAACAUCUGGUCUAAGAAGAGUGCUGCCUAAUUCCUUCUUGGGACACCCACUGGUUCUAGCUAGUAACCUUUCUGCUAUUUCCUUGACCUCUUUACCCUGAAGCUUUUGUCAAAUAAAUUGCUACAGCAACCU